rnacentral:rRNA from 1 species
CUACGGGUGGCUGCAGUGGGGAAUAUUGCGCAAUGGGGGAAACCCUGACGCAGCAACGCCGCGUGAAGGAAGAAGGCUUUCGGGUUGUAAACUUCUUUGAUCAGGGAAGAAAAAAAUGACGGUACCUGAAGAACAAGCCACGGCUAACUACGUGCCAGCAGCCGCGGUAAUACGUAGGUGGCGAGCGUUAUCCGGAAUUACUGGGUGUAAAGAGCAUGUAGGCGGAAUUAUAAGUCAGAUGUUAAAUCUUGAGGCUCAACCUCAAGCAGCAUCUGAAACUGUUUUUCUUGAGUGUCGGAGAGGAAAGUGGAAUUCCUAGUGUAGCGGUGAAAUGCGUAGAUAUUAGGAGGAACACCAGUGGCGAAGGCGGCUUUCUGGACGAUAACUGACGCUGAGAUGCGAAAGUGUGGGUAGCAAACAGGAUUAGAUACCCUGGUAGUC